rnacentral:rRNA from 1 species
GACGAACGCUGGCGGCGUGCUUAACACAUGCAAGUCGAACGAAGAGCGAUGGAAGCUUGCUUCUAUCAAUCUUAGUGGCGGACGGGUGAGUAACGCGUAAUCAACCUGCCCUUCAGAGGGGGACAACAGUUGGAAACGACUGCUAAUACCGCAUACGAUCUAAUCUCGGCAUCGAGGAAAGAUGAAAGGUGGCCUCUAUUUAUAAGCUAUCACUGAAGGAGGGGAUUGCGUCUGAUUAGCUAGUUGGAGGGGUAACGGCCCACCAAGGCGAUGAUCAGUAGCCGGUCUGAGAGGAUGAACGGCCACAUUGGGACUGAGACACGGCCCAGACUCCUACGGGAGGCAGCAGUGGGGAAUCUUCCGCAAUGGACGAAAGUCUGACGGAGCAACGCCGCGUGAGUGAUGACGGCCUUCGGGUUGUAAAGCUCUGUUAAUCGGGACGAAAGGCCUUCUUGCGAACAGUUAGAAGGAUUGACGGUACCGGAAUAGAAAGCCACGGCUAACUACGUG